GUCUAUGGCCAUGCCAUCCUGAACAAGCCCAAUCCCGUCUGAUCUCGGAAGCUAACCAGGGUUGGGCCUGGUUAGUACUUGGAUGGGAGACCACCUAGAAAGACUAGGUGCUUUAGGCG
rnacentral:rRNA from 1 species